ACAAAAAAUCAAAAUAUGUCUCAAAAUAUGCUCAAGAACACAUAACAUAUUCAAAUAACAAGUUCAAAUCAAAAUAAAUAAGCAAAAAGUCUUUUAAACUUUAACAAAACUACAAAAGCAAUAAACAUCAAUCAACUCCCAAAUCUCAAUUACUCCUCAGCUGCUUGUUCUUGUUGAGCUACUAUUGGCCUACCAAAUUCUACAUUAACAAAUUAAACAAAAAUAUUAGAAUGAUUAGUUAAGAGUGAAAUAACCAAAACAAUAUCAAAAUAUAGUAGUAACAUAUUACCUGCUUCAAUAACUUCAUAGAAUUCAGUUUCCUCCUGAGUAGGUUGUAUUAUCCGUUCUCCUAAUAGAGUUGAGCGAAGCCAAUUUUGAGUGCAAAUCAAUGACUCAACAGUUUUAUGAGUUAAAGAACUUCUAAAAGGAUCAAGAACACGUCCUCCUGUGCUAAAUGCCGAUUCUAAAGCUACAGUAGACACUGGAAUUGCCAAAACAUCUUUGGCAAUUUGAGACAAAAUCGGAUACCUAUGCCCAUUCAACUUCCACCAAGUCAAAAUAUCAAAAUGGGCAUUACUAGUACUCUCAUUAGCAUCCGUCAAGUACUUUUCAACAUCAUUUUUCGAACUAAUGUCAUCAUUUGAACUUUGCUUCAUCAUUUUGAAAGAUGAAAAAAGAUCAAUUGACAUUAUACUACUACUAGGACCACCACUACUACCACCACCACCAAUACUAGCUAUUGAAUGAUUCACCUCCGCCAACCCAUCUUGCACAAUCAAAUUUAUUAUGUAUGCCGAACACCUCACAUGCAUAUAUAAACCAUUCAAAACCAUUGAAUUCACACUCCAAUUUGCUAACUUUUUCUUCACAUAAGUUAUUGCAACUUUAUUGGCACUUGCAUUGUCUACUGUAAUUGUGAACAACCUCUCAAUCCCCCAAUCAAUCAAACAUGCCUCAAUUAGCUUCCUAAUACCAUCUCCUUUAUGAUUAGCUAUAGGUGUGAAACUAAGAAUCCUUUUGUGCAACACCCACUCCGCAUCAAUAAAAUGAGCAGUAAUGACCAUGUAGUUAGACAUUUGAAUUGAUGUCCACGUAUCUGUGGUAAUACACACUCUCUGCUUGCUUGCACCAAAAACACUUUUUAAUAACCCUUUUUCAUGCUGAUACAAUUCAAGAAUAUCCCUUGUAAUUGUUCUUCAGGAUGGCACAUCAAAUCUUGGGCAACAAGUUUGUAUGAACUCUAAAAACCCUUCAGCCUCCAUAAAGCUAAAAGGUAAUUCAUCCUUGACAAUCAUCUUCACAAGUGCCAUUCUACAAGCCUCUUGACUAAACCCGCCACUAAGUUUAACAACUCCAUCAUCUUUAUCUUUUCCCUUUUGACGGAAAAGUACUUGUUGCUUCG
rnacentral:lncRNA from 1 species